rnacentral:rRNA from 1 species
CUCAAGUGAGAUCCUUGAGGACUGAAGUGGAGAAAGUUCAGUUUGAUGUGAAUAGCAGUUGAACAAGGGUCAGUUAGUUUUAAGGGAAAGGAUAGUUUUUUUCCGAAGCUGAAGCACUUCUGCAGCAGUUUGAGCCGCGAAGAAAUUGAAAGGAAAUCAAGUUAAUAAUCCGGAACCCUGACAAGAAAUUGGUCCUUUGGAACCCAGUGAGGUAACGCAAACUAGCUCGGAGACGCCGAUACGAGUCCCAGAAAGAAUUUUACUAUUCUUUUUUUUUUUUUCUGUUGGGAGAUUUAGCUUUUGGAAUGGUUUCGCCGGUGCGGCUCUUGCUUUGCCCGGUGGGCUCGCGUCGGCCCUUCAAAAUUCAAGUGAAGGAGUGUGAUUUUCGUGCCGGAGAGUACCCACAUCCACAACAGGUCUCCAAGGUGAACAACACCUAGUC